UCAAGAUAAGAUUUCCCACCGUAAGGGUAAGACCCCAGAAAGACUAUCUGGUUGAUAGGUCGAAGGUGUAAGUGCAGCAAUGUAUUUAGCUUAUCGAUACUAAUAGGUCGAGGACUUGACCAA
rnacentral:rRNA from 1 species